CCAUGUGAGCUAAAACAGGAAACGGGCAUCAUAAAAGAAAAUGUCCAGCUACAUUUUCUAUUGUCUAUUCAAUAAACAAUCCAAUAAACAAGAGCGAUCAAUUGUCAAUUCUAUAAUAGGAGGUCAAGGCCACCAAAUGCAGUGGAACAUCACAUAUUUUGAGGAUCAUCAAGCCACAUGAUCUUUUCCUCUCUAUUUUCUGCUUUUAUCUGUCAAGGAUUACCCUUUGGCUCACUUUCGCUUCCUUUUUCUAUUGUUGUUUGAUGAAACACACUACCCAUUUUCGCAGUAUAUGUCCCAUCAUUGUUUGAAAUUGGUCUUAGAUCCUCGCUAAUGUCAAAACAAACUGGAGUUGUAGUGGCUAUCAAAAUAAGAACAAAUAGCCAUAUGUUCAGAACUGGACACAAAAUGAAAAAUACAGGUUUAUAAAUUGUUCAGAAAUGUGAAUCCCAGUUUUACAAGGUAAGAUAUCAAAAUAAUAUACAGCAAGAUCGAGGUAUCUAAAGGAGGCAGAAGAAUCUUGUCUGUAAUGUACAUACAAUAAUAAUAAUAAGUCAAUUUAGAAUCCAGUAACGAGGACAUACAUACUCACCACAUGUUUAGCUUACUCUUGCCUAGCUUUAUAAUUUUCAGAAUGCUUGCAUUAAUUUCUCUAUUGCAUGGAUAUUCAGAACCAUCUAGUAGUGCCAGGACAAAAUGAGUAAUGGAGUAACAAGUGCUUUGGUUUUAUACAUUAUAUUGGAUAAGGCUGUUAAAACAACAGCCAUUCUUCUGCAGAUAAUUUGUUUCCUAGCUUUUCCUUUUUGCAUCUAUCCAGCUUCCAAGCAUGAAGUAAACUUAUCCACU
rnacentral:lncRNA from 1 species